AUUGAACGCUGGCGGCAGGCCUAACACAUGCAAGUCGAGCGGAUGAAGGGAGCUUGCUCCUGGAUUCAGCGGCGGACGGGCGAGUAAUGCCUAGGAAUCUGCCUGGUAGUGGGGGAUAACGUCCGGAAACGGGCGCUAAUACCGCAUACGUCCUGAGGGAGAAAGUGGGGGAUCUUCGGACCUCACGCUAUCAGAUGAGCCUAGGUCGGAUUAGCUAGUUGGUGGGGUAAAGGCCUACCAAGGCGACGAUCCGUAACUGGUCUGAGAGGAUGAUCAGUCACACUGGAACUGAGACACGGUCCAGACUCCUACGGGAGGCAGCAGUGGGGAAUAUUGGACAAUGGGCGAAAGCCUGAUCCAGCCAUGCCGCGUGUGUGAAGAAGGUCUUCGGAUUGUAAAGCACUUUAGGUUGGGAGGAAGAGCAGUAAGUUAAUACCUUGCUGUUUUGACGUUACCAACAGAAUAAGCACCGGCUAACUUCGUG
rnacentral:rRNA from 1 species